rnacentral:rRNA from 1 species
UCCGAAGGGUGCAAGCGUUACUCGGAAUUACUGGGCGUAAAGCGCGCGUAGGUGGUUCGUUAAGUCUGAUGUGAAAGCCCUGGGCUCAACCUGGGAAUGGCAUUGGAAACUGGCGACCUAGAGUGCGGUAGAGGGUAGUGGAAUUCCCGGUGUAGCAGUGAAAUGCGUAGAGAUCGGGAGGAACAUCUGUGGCGAAGGCGACUGCCUGGACCAGCACUGACACUGAGGCACGAAAGCGUGGGGAGCAAACAGG